GCCCCUGUAGCGCAAUGGAUAGCGCGUUGGAUUUCUAAUCCAAAGGUCGUGGAUUCGAAUUCCACCUGGUACA
rnacentral:tRNA from 1 species